rnacentral:tmRNA from 1 species
GGGGUUGACUGGAUUUGACGGCGAGAUGAAAUGGUACGUAAGCACGCGGAGGCUCGUCGGUUCCCUCCAUAAUCUGAGCAGGCAAAAAUUUAAUUGGCAACAACAAGUAUGCUCUCGCUGCCUAAUCGAAGUACAGUAGAUUACUGGCUUUAUCCUCUUACAAGGUAGGAGGACGAGACGUCGCUCCGAGGAUGUUGUUCCGAAUCCGGAGAUUCAGCGGCGCAGGAAAAAUCGGGAAUAGCCCACGCGGGCCUCGCCACGCGGGUGAAACUUCAGAGGAUAAGGCUGCGGUUGGUGGUCCAGGUCUUGCCACAGCUCGAAAACGAAGGCUGGAAUAAGCGUGUAGAAAGCGUAUGGUUUCCUUGUGCGGACGUGGGUUCGAAUCCCACCAGCUCCACC